ACAGCUCCUGUCUCUCGGCUUGGCCUACCCCACAGGGCCAUUGUGAGGGUAAAGCUGCUGGCGAUCGGAAGAACCACCCAUGUCACCCUGAAUUCCUUGCAAGAAGGGCCAGGCAAAAGUGUAAAAAAUAAAUGAAACAGGCUUCAAACGUGCAUUCAGUCACUCAACCAUCUGUCUCAGUAGCCAAUGGAGGAGAAGACUUCACCUUUUGGGGGUGAAGUCAAACCAUUGGGGAAAGAAACAAACUGCAGAACCAAUUGUGUCACUUUAGAACAGGCUGUCAUUUAGAACAACGGCUUAAGUUUCCUGAAGGCAGGUCCAUAUCCUUUGCAGUCACCUCACCUAGUGCUAAAAGUUGCAAAGGGCCACUUCAGUGAGGCUAUUGCUGCAGCUGUCAACCUCAGAAAACUCAGACCCUGCAUAAUUUCAAAUUUUGCAUGGCUGUCAUAGACAAAGCAUGCAAACAGGUCCUUUAGAAUAACCACCUGAUUUCCAUAUACAUUGCUGUGCAAAUCACACGGCUGGUUUGAAGGCCAAAGUUCGACCGUGGAAUAAUUUUGCUCUUUUUGACUCAAAUCUGUCAUGAGCUCAAGUCACUGAGCAUGUCUGACGGUCAAGCACCAGUUUCUGAAUCAAAGUGGAUAACUGCCUCUUGUUUCUGUUCCUGUUUUUUAAUUUUAUUUUAGGCUUUUCAUCUUCAAAAGGGCUGAAGUGGUGGCCUCAUUUAUACAUCAAACUUUCUUCCUUUAAAAGCAAACAUAAUUUUCCAG